rnacentral:rRNA from 1 species
UGGCUCAGAACGAACGCUGGCGGCGUGCUUACACAUGCAAGUCGAGCGAGAAACCCUGGUCUUUGGCCGGGGGAGUAAAGCGGCGAACGGGUGAGUAACGCGUGGGUAACCUGUCCCUGAAUCCUGGAUAACUUCGCGAAAGCGGGGCUAAUACGGGAUGAAGUUCCGGGGGUUGAAGUCUCCGGGAUGAAAGGUGACCUCUCGGAGAAGUUGCCGUUUGGGGAGGGGUCCGCGUCCCAUUAGCUGGUUGGUGGGGUAAUGGCUCACCAAGGCGACGAUGGGUAGCUGGUCUGAGAGGAUGAUCAGCCACACUGGCACUGGAACACGGGCCAGACUCCUACGGGAGGCAGCAGUGAGGAAUUUUGCGCAAUGGGGGAAACCCUGACGCAGCAACGCCGCGUGGGUGAGGAAGGCCUUCGGGUCGUAAAGCCCUGUCAAGGGGGAAAAAGCCCCGGGGUUAAAGAGGCCCUGUUGGAUUGAUGGUACCCCUAGAGGAAGCACCGGCUAACUCCGUGCCAGCAGCCGCGGUAAUACGGAGGGUGCGAGCGUUGUUCGGAAUUACUGGGCGUAAAGGGCGCGUAGGCGGUGAGGUGAGUCAGUUGUGAAAGCCCCGGGCUCAACCCGGGAAGUGCAUCUGAGACUGCCUGACUGGAGUAUGGGAGAGGGGAGUGGAAUUCCCGGUGUAGAGGUGAAAUUCGUAGAUAUCGGGAAGAACACCUGUGGCGAAGGCGACUCCCUGGACCAUAACUGACGCUGAAGCGCGAAAGCGUGGGGAGCAAACAGGAUUAGAGACCCUGGUAGUCCACGCUGUAAACGCUGAGAACCAGGUGUAGCGGGUGUUGAUACCUGCUGUGCCGAAGUUAACGCAUUAAGUUCUCCGCCUGGGGACUACGGCCGCAAGGCUAAAACUCAAAGGAAUUGACGGGGGCCCGCACAAGCGGUGGAGCAUGUGGUUUAAUUCGACGCAACGCGAAGAACCUUACCUGGGCUUGACAUCCCGGGGAUCUGCUGGAGACAGUGGAGUGCCCUUCGGGGAACCCGGAGACAGGUGCUGCAUGGCUGUCGUCAGCUCGUGUCGUGAGAUGUUGGGUUAAGUCCCGCAACGAGCGCAACCCUUAUCUCUAGUUGCCAGCAUUUCGGGUGGGCACUCUAGAGAGACUGCCUCGGUAAACGAGGAGGAAGGUGGGGAUGACGUCAAGUCCUCAUGGCCUUUAUGCCCAGGGCUACACACGUGCUACAAUGGGCGGCACAAAGGGUGGCCACUCUGUGAGGAGGCGCAAAUCCCAAAAAGCCGCUCCCAGUUCGGAUUGGAGUCUGCAACUCGACUCCAUGAAGGUGGAAUCGCUAGUAAUCGUGGAUCAGCAUGCCACGGUGAUGCGUUCCCGGCCUUGUACACACCGCCCGUCACACCACGAAGUCGGUGGUACCCGAAGUUGCUGGCC